AUUGAACGCUAGCGGGAUGCUUUACACAUGCAAGUCGAACGAGUGGCGGACGGGUGAGUAAUAUAUGGGAACGUGCCCAGUAGCGGGGGAUAACUACUCGAAAGAGUGGCUAAUACCGCAUACUAUCGGAUGAACCGAUAUCGGAUUAGCUAGUUGGUGGGGUAAAGGCUCACCAAGGCGACGAUCCCUAGCUGGUCUGAGAGGAUGACCAGCCACACUGGGACUGAGACACGGCCCAGACUCCUACGGGAGGCAGCAGUGGGGAAUUUUGGACAAUGGGGGAAACCCUGAUGCAGCCAUCCCGCGUGUAUGAGAAGGCCUUCGGGUUGUAAAGUACUUUUGGCGGAGAAGCGGUAUCUGCAGAAUAAGCACCGGCUAACUCCGUGCCAGCAGCCGCGGUAAUUC
rnacentral:rRNA from 1 species